CGAAAGCCUGACGGAGCCAGACCGCGUGAGGGAAGAAAGACCUUGGUUCGUAAACCUCUUUGCUCAAGGAAGAAGAAGUGACGGUACUUGAGGAAUCAGCAUCGGCUAACUCCGUGCCAGCAGCCGCGGUAAGACGGAGGAUGCAAGCGUUAUCCGGAAUUAUUGGGCGUAAAGCGUCCGCAGGUGGUGCAUCAAGUCUGCGGUUAAAGACCGGAGCUUAACUCCGGGUCAGCCGUGGCAACUGAGGCACUAGAGGAUGGGAGGGGUAGAGGGAAUUCCUAGUGUAGCGGUGAAAUGCGUAGAGAUUGGGAAGAACACCGGUGGCGAAAGCGCUCUACUAGACCAUCAGUGACACUCAGAGGACGAAAGCUAGGGGAGCG
rnacentral:rRNA from 1 species